AAAAAUAAAAUGUGCAUCACGUGCGGCCUUCAACGAUGUCAGACGUCAACUCCGAGACAUUCCAGGCAUACGGUAUGGUCUCAUAUAUCCUGCACGCCUUUGAAUUGCGACGAGUGAAGGAGUCACAAAGGACUUCACUUCAUCGGGAGAGGCGGCUGUCUCCGUGAAGACACUCACAUAGAAACAAGUUUUCUGCAAAGGUUUGAUUUUGUGAGCCAAUUGCCUUCAAAAUGACUUUGAACAUUACCUCUUAAAUUUAAUAAUGUGUGUGACGUUUUGUUUUACUCUAUUUUUGUAAAUUAGAAUGGCAAGGGCUUUAUUUUGUAAUUACAAUUACACUGAGUAUUUUUUAUAAGUAAGAUUUACAUUUUGCACAUUUAAAUAUGUUAAAUAUACACCUUGUAGUUUGUUCAGUUAAAUAGUUUAUAGUUAUGCAGGAGCUCCGGGUUGGAUAAUUGUGAGUAUGGCGAUUAGGUCAGAUACUAGGAAUUUAGCAGUAGGAGUUUUAGCUCCUUGUGGAGCUUGCACUGAUACCUCAUCAUUUGGGGAUGGGGUAAUGGUAAGUGCGGGGGGAGGGGGGUCAGGGUCAUUGUUAUUUUGUCUUUUUUUUAAGCUUUUCUUUUUUAAGGGGGAGGGGGGCAAAACAUGAUCGCUACCUCAUAUUUGACACAAACUGUAGAUGGUUGGUACUAAGAUGUCAGAUGUGAGAUUUAUUAGUUGGAACAUUAAAGGUUUGGGGAGUGCAGUCAAACAUUCAAGGGUAUUUUCUCAUUUAAAGCGGUUAAAACCUGACAUUGUCUUUUUGCAGGAGACACAUAUGAGAACUAACAAUCAAGCUCGACUAAAAUGUCCCUGGGUUGCUGAAGUUUUUCAUUCCAGCUUCAAUUCCAAGGCCAGAGGGGUUGCCAUCCUGAUAGGUAAAACAGUCCCAUUUACACAGACAAAAAUGA